rnacentral:lncRNA from 1 species
AAAAAUUCAUUUUUUCAACUGCAUCAAUCUAUUUAAUUUAAAACAAACAAAUCUGAAAAAUCACAGAUCUUCGAAAUCUAAACCCAAAAAAUCGAUAGCCAUGAACCAACAAAUCCUAGAAGGGAAAUCGAAACCGAAACUAAAACAGAACCCUCCAUUGAUUCUGCAAAACUCAACCUCUUGUGUCUCGUGUUUUAAUGAAGGAUUUGGAGACCAAUUUAAUUUUUGGGUAGAUGAAUUUCUGAGUUUGUGUGGUGAGGAUAUGUUUUGGAUUGGAAAGAAAAUGGAUUUAUGGUUAGUGGGGUUAGUGGUGUACGGUGGGAGGAAGAAUGAAUUAGGAUGAGAAUUUUUUUUUUUCUGGGUUAUCAAAAGUAAGAUUAGGGUAUGAUGAAUUUUGAGANGAAUAUGAAGGAAUUAUGUUGUUGUUCUUGUUUGGAUUGAAGAAGAUGAAGGAAUUAUGAGUUUGAAGAAGAUGAUGAGGAAUGAUAAAUAUUUGUUUGGAUUUGAGAAGAUAAGUUUGAUAAAGGAUGAUCAAUGAUAAAUAUAUUUUUUAUGGAACUGGAUCCUCUCCUUCACCCCUUGUCUCCUUCUCUCUCCUUCUCCAAAUCUGGACCGCUUGAUGAAAUCCAAUGGAUGAGAAAUGUCCUCUCACAAAAAAUGCUAUGUAUCUUUUCACAGUAAAUUGUUUCCUCUUCAUCUUCUACAACAAAGUGUCUGCAUCAUCUCUCUUGCUCUGUAGAAUUUCUCUAUUCAGUUUCAAAUUAAAUAGCUUNNN